GCCUUCGGGAUGUAGUAGUCAGCGCACUCGACCCGUAUUCGAGAGGUCCGUGGUUCGAAUCCCGGCGAGGGCU
rnacentral:tRNA from 1 species